GAUUAACGCUAGCGGCAGGCAUAAUACAUGCAAGUUGAACGGCAGCACAGGUAGCAAUACUGGGUGGCGAGUGGCGCACGGGUGCGUAACACGUAUGCAACCUACCCUAUACAGGCGAAUAACCUUUAGAAAUGAGGGCUAAUACGCCGUAGUAUUACAGAUGGGCAUCUAUUUGUAAUUAAAGAUUUAUCGGUAUAGGAUGGGCAUGCGUCCCAUUAGUUAGUUGGUAAGGUAACGGCUUACCAAGACGAUGAUGGGUAGGGGAUCUGAGAGGACUUACCCCCACACUGGUACUGAGAAACGGACCAGACUCCUACGGGAGGCAGCAGUAAGGAAUAUUGGGCAAUGGCCGCGAGGCUGACCCAGCCAUGCCGCGUGCAGGAAGACGGCCUUAUGGGUUGUAAACUGCUUUUAUACGGGAAUAAUAGAGUGUACGCGUACAUUUAUGCAAGUAUCGUAUGAAUAAGCAUCGGCUAACUCCGUG
rnacentral:rRNA from 1 species